ACUCCUACGGGAGGCAGCAGUGGGGAAUAUUGCACAAUGGGCGCAAGCCUGAUGCAGCCAUGCCGCGUGUAUGAAGAAGGCCUCGGUUGUAAAGUACUUCUAGCAGUGAGGAAGGACGGGUACGGUUAAGUUAAGUCGUAUUCGUUUGUACGUUAGUCUGCAGAAGAAGACACCGGCUAACUCCGUGCCAGCAGCCGCGGUAAUACGGAGGUGCGAGCGUAAUCGAAUUACUGGCGUAAGCGCAUGCAGGUGGUUUGUUAAGUUCAGAUGUGAAAGCCGGGGGCUCAACCUCGGAAUUGCAUUUGAAACUGGCAGACUAGAGUACUGUAGAGGGGGUAGGAAUUUCAGGUGUAGCGGUGAAAUGCGUAGAGAUCUG
rnacentral:rRNA from 1 species